rnacentral:rRNA from 1 species
GCGAAGGUGUCCCGUGAGGGAUGCUGGAGGUAUCAGAAGUGCGAAUGCUGACAUAAGUAACGAUAAAGCGGGUGAAAAGCCCGCUCGCCGGAAGACCAAGGGUUCCUGUCCAACGUUAAUCGGGGCAGGGUGAGUCGACCCCUAAGGCGAGGCCGAAAGGCGUAGUCGAUGGGAAACGGGUUAAUAUUCCCGUACUUGGUGUUACUGCGAAGGGGGGACGGAGAAGGCUAUGUUGGCCGGGCGACGGUUGUCCCGGUUUAAGCGUGUAGGUGUGUGUUCCAGGUAAAUCCGGUUCACUUUAACACUGAGGCGUGACGACGAGGCACUACGGUGCUGAAGCAACAAAUGCCCUGCUUCCAGGAAAAGCCUCUAAGCAUCAGGUAACAUCAAAUCGUACCCCAAACCGACACAGGUGGUCAGGUAGAGAAUACCAAGGCGCUUGAGAGAACUCGGGUGAAGGAACUAGGCAAAAUGGUGCCGUAACUUCGGGAGAAGGCACGCUGACACGUAGGUGAAGUGAUUUACUCAUGGAGCUGAAGUCAGUCGAAGAUACCAGCUGGCUGCAACUGUUUAUUAAAAACACAGCACUGUGCAAACACGAAAGUGGACGUAUACGGUGUGACGCCUGCCCGGUGCCGGAAGGUUAAUUGAUGGGGUCAGCGCAAGCGAAGCUCCUGAUCGAAGCCCCGGUAAACGGCGGCCGUAACUAUAACGGUCCUAAGGUAGCGAAAUUCCUUGUCGGGUAAGUUCCGACCUGCACGAAUGGCGUAAUGAUGGCCAGGCUGUCUCCACCCGAGACUCAGUGAAAUUGAACUCGCUGUGAAGAUGCAGUGUACCCGCGGCAAGACGGAAAGACCCCGUGAACCUUUACUAUAGCUUGACACUGAACAUUGAGCCUUGAUGUGUAGGAUAGGUGGGAGGCUUUGAAGUGUGGACGCCAGUCUGCAUGGAGCCGACCUUGAAAUACCACCCUUUAAUGUUUGAUGUUCUAACGUGGACCCGUAAUCCGGGUUGCGGACAGUGUCUGGUGGGUAGUUUGACUGGGGCGGUCUCCUCCUAAAGAGUAACGGAGGAGCACGAAGGUUGGCUAAUCCUGGUCGGACAUCAGGAGGUUAGUGCAAUGGCAUAAGCCAGCUUGACUGCGAGCGUGACGGCGCGAGCAGGUGCGAAAGCAGGUCAUAGUGAUCCGGUGGUUCUGAAUGGAAGGGCCAUCGCUCAACGGAUAAAAGGUACUCCGGGGAUAACAGGCUGAUACCGCCCAAGAGUUCAUAUCGACGGCGGUGUUUGGCACCUCGAUGUCGGCUCAUCACAUCCUGGGGCUGAAGUAGGUCCCAAGGGUAUGGCUGUUCGCCAUUUAAAGUGGUACGCGAGCUGGGUUUAGAACGUCGUGAGACAGUUCGGUCCCUAUCUGCCGUGGGCGCUGGAGAACUGAGGGGGGCUGCUCCUAGUACGAGAGGACCGGAGUGGACGCAUCACUGGUGUUCGGGUUGUCAUGCCAAUGGCACUGCCCGGUAGCUAAAUGCGGAAGAGAUAAGUGCUGAAAGCAUCUAAGCACGAAACUUGCCCCGAGAUGAGUUCUCCCUGAGACUUAGAGUCUCCUGAAGGAACGUUGAAGACGACGACGUUGAUAGGCCGGGUGUGUAAGCGCAGCGAUGCGUUGAGCUAACCGGUACUAAUGAACCGUGAGG